rnacentral:lncRNA from 1 species
AAAAGUAAUACUUCCGCUUUCCGGAGAAAAUGAAAGCUGGUAGAGAAGUAAAAUCCCGAAGAUAUUACAAAAAGGCUCACGGCCCAAGUUCAAGAAUCUCUUAAAAAAAAAAAAAAAAGGAAGAACAAGAGGAUUUUUAGACGACUUCCACGUCAUCUUCAAGAUUGCCCGGAUCGGAAGGAGGAUCGUCGCUGCCAUCAGAAGCUCGGAGUUUGGCUUGGAAGGCCGCCGCAUUUGAUUCGUGAGGAUCUCGGAUAGAUCUCGGAGCAGGAUCUUCGGGCCGC